rnacentral:antisense_RNA from 1 species
CUUCACCGAUCCCAGCCACAGCGGCCGAUCCGCGUCCCGCCCCUGACCGUAGGUCGCCAGCAACGCGCCCGCUUC